ensembl:lncRNA
GCCGAUUGUGCUCACUCCAUCAAAGUGCAGCAGAAACCCGUGAGGUGCUGCCGAGCAGAUGGAACAAGUAGAUCAAGCUGUGGGAGAUUAUUAAAAUGACUGACGAGUCUGUAUCAUCUGAAAUGCGCCAUUAUUAAUGCAUGAGGCUCGGCUAUUUUCCUCUUGCCCUUGAACCUGUCUUAUUUUAUUAUUUUUUUAUUUCCAUUAGCAACACGGCAAUUACUGCUGGGCUGAUGAGCUGCUGGUCACUGCGUUGCCUCUCAAGGUCGGAAAUAUAAAUAAAUUAAGCGAUUCAUUUUUUAAAAUAAAAAAAAAGUUCAAUAUAAAAGUUAAGCACUUAUUUACUUUCCUCCUAGCAUUAACAAUUUCCGCAAAGCCCCUGAAAUGGAGAAGCAUUUACUUCGAGUCUUAGAAGUCUCUUAAGCACUUCUGUAAUCUCAAAAAAAAAAAAAAACAAUUCUUUUUUACUUUUUCUCUUUUUAAAUUUUUUUAAUUUGCUGUGAUUUUUCUCGUGAGGUACGACACCAACGCUUGGCAGGGUUUUAACCCCUGAUUAUUCUAAAUUCGUUUUUUCCUUGUUUUUUGUUUUGUUUUGUUUUGUUUUGUUUGUUUGUUUUAAAUAGGUGUCUUGUUUAAAUUUGUUUCAUAUCUGUUUGCUGGUAGAUUAACUUGUACGUGUUUUGUACAUAUUUUGUUGACCACGCCAAACUGAUUUUCUAGGCUGGCGGUAGACAAAAGGACUGUUGUCAGGACUGAAACUUGAUCACGCUUGUGUAAUGGGGGGGAGAGAGACAGACAGAGAGAGACAGACAGAAAGAGACAGAAAGAAAGAAAGAAAGAGAGAGAGAGAGAUUGAGAGGACUUCGGUCACACACAGAGUUUCAUACGUGUUACAAGCACUGGAUAUAAAUGGUAUUUUUAUCGAUUCUGACUAAUGUGAAGCCGUCGUGCGAGAAAAAAAAAAUCCACACGAACAAAAGUGACCCGUUUGGACUUCCCAGAUUUGAGUCAUUGUAUUUUUUUUUUUUUUUUUUUUUUUUUCUGUGUGUGUGUGUGUGUGCGUGUGCGUGUGUGCGUGUAUUUUUUUUUCUUUUGUUAAUUUAUGCAAAGACACGUGAUAAACGAACACUUUUGUUUAAGCUCCAGUGCUGCCUAAGGGAGAUAAAGAGCAGUAAACUCGACAGAAGGCUCACGUAAGAGACUGAUCAGCCGAGACACACCGGACUUCAAUCGCGCAUCCGAAACUCUCAUGGAAAAAAAGAAAGGAAAAAAAAAAGAAAAAAGAAGAAGAAUCAAAAACUAGACAAGUCACUGUACCUCAUGUAGAUGCUGAGCUCAGUCCCUGUUGAUCAGACAGUAUCGGAUCCGACUCGAGGAACCUCACUUUCACAAGACGUCCUUUCGAACUUCGAACUCGUGGCCACGAUAGAUUCGGCCAAUCGGCCGAAAAUAAAGAAAAAACGAUUUGGGCGUCACGCGUGAGAUCCGGAAGUGAGGUUCUCGCUAAGCUCGGUCCAUGGUGGAUGAACAAAUAUUUAUUAUUUUUUUAUGCUGAAUAACAUGGACACGUUCUUAGAAUUUUCUUUUUUCUUUCUUUCUUUCUUUCUUUCAGCUUUUCAGCAGCUGCAGUCCAUUUUGUGUUCAAUUAAUUCAUAUCACUGCCAUCUUUUUAUGCAAAUUAGAUACAACUGAAGACAAAAUACAUAUGCUGUUUCUACUUAUCUUACUGUAAUUCUGUUUCAGUCAUUAGAUGUUUUUUAAUAAUGUAUAUUGUGGGAUUCUUUUAUUCUUUUUUUGUUGCUAAUUUAAUCAGCACAAUUCACUGACAUGCUGGACUGAAAUGCUAGCUGCUGUUCAGAAGAGUACGUUGUUUUUUUUUGUUUGUUUGUUUGUUUUUAUUUUGCUGUCAGGGACAAAUUAUUGUCAUUGCAAUGGUACUUUCUAGUUUCUAGUCUCUCAAGCAACACUGUGUGCGUGGCUCAUCGAGUGCCGGGGCCGCUCUCGACUUCGAAUCCCGCUGGCAGCCUGAUAAUUAUAUUUCUUUUUGUUUUGAAUUUUUGUUUUUGUGCAUAUAGAAACCGGUUUCUCGGCAGGUACCUGGCCAGGUAUUGUUCGGGCGUUAGAGAUAUAGAACUAGUGUGCUGCUUUAAAGAGAGAGAGAGAGAGAGAGAGAGAAAAAAAUAAAAAUAAAAAACCCAGUACAAAAAAAGUAAUUAAGUCUAAAAAUGUAAAUAGUUUAUCAUAUCUUGUACAGUCCAGUGUAAAGUUUUUAAUUGAACUUAAAGGUUGCCAUCACGCUCUCGUUCACAGUUUUCUUCUUUAUACAGUAUGAAAAAACAGUACGAAAGACGGCAAUUUGCUAAGGGUAUUAUUGUUUUAAAAAAAAUAAGACAAAAAAAAAAGGUACUAAAAAGAUUUUCUGCUUGGCUUCAGUAUGUAAACCAGCAACUUAUUGUUUUUUUUUUUUGUUUGUUUGUUUGUUUUUUCCAUGUGCAGUAUUGACGUGAGGUAAACUAAAUUAAUUCUACAGUCGUAUGUUCCAGAGAUGAGUCUACGAGUCUCUCUGUAAUGGUAGUAUUAAUAUAAAUAAAAUAAUCCAGAUGAGUGACGCAUUUUGGUUUAUUUAGGCACCUUAGUGGAUUGUACAAUUCUCUAGGUCGCUCUCCGUACAGGAGGCGUUUUUAUUUUUUGUUUGUUUUUGGUUGUUUUUUUUUGUUUUUGUUUUUUGACAUAAAGUUGUAAAGUAAUGACAUUUCUACAGUAUACUCAAUACAUUUGAUGUACAAUGGCAGAAGAGGGAGUUCCUGUCUGUUUUAGCUCAUUUACCUCAAGAGUUUCCUCUUUUUUUCCUUCAUAAAAACCAUACACACACACACACACACACACACACACACACACACACACACACACACACAAACAUACAACCAGAAAAUCGUCUCACCAUCACUCCAUCUUUUGUACUGCUGUUGACACUUACAAAUUAAAGAGACAUUUUGUUUUAAA